UGGGGAAUAUUGGACAAUGGGCGAAAGCCUGAUCCAGCAAUGCCGCGUGAGUGAUGAAGGCCUUAGGGUUGUAAAGCUCUUUUACCCGGGAUGAUAAUGACAGUACCGGGAGAAUAAGCCCCGGCUAACUCCGUGCCAGCAGCCGCGGUAAUACGGAGGGGGCUAGCGUUGUUCGGAAUUACUGGGCGUAAAGCGCACGUAGGCGGCUUUGUAAGUUAGAGGUGAAAGCCCGGAGCUCAACUUCGGAAUUGCCUUUAAGACUGCAUCGCUUGAAUCAUGGAGAGGUCAGUGGAAUUCCGAGUGUAGAGGUGAGAUUCGUAGAUAUUCGGAAGAACACCAGUGGCGAAGGCGACUGACUGGACAUGUAUUGACGCUGAGGUGCGAAAGCGUGGGGAGCAAACAGGAUUAGAUACCCCUGGUAGUCCACGCCGUAAACGAUGAUAACUAGCUGUCAGGGCUCUUAGAGUUUUGGUGGCGCAGCUAACGCGUUAAGUUAUCCGCCUGGGGAGUACGGCCGCAAGGUUAAAACUCAAAUGAAUUGACGGGGUUAUAGCUGUUUCCUG
rnacentral:rRNA from 1 species